rnacentral:rRNA from 1 species
AUAUUGACGCUGGCGGCAGGCUUAACACAUGCAAGUCGAGCGGAGAUGAGGUGCUUGCACCUUUUCUUAGCGGCGGACGGGUGAGUAAUGCUUAGGAAUCUGCCAUUUAGUGGGGGACAACAUCUCGAUAGGGAUGCUAAUACCGCAUACGUCCUACGGGAGAUAGCAGGGGAUCUUCGGACCUUGCGCUAAAUGAUGAGCCUAAGUCGGAUUAGCUAGUUGGUGGGGUAUAGGGCUACCAAGGCGACGAUCUGUAGCGGGGUCUUGAGAGGAUGAUCCGCCACACUGGGACUGAGACACCGCCCAGACUCCUACGCGAGGCAGCAGUGGGGAAUAUUGGACAAUGGGCGGAAGCCUGAUCCAGCCAUGCCGCGUGUGUGAAGAAGGCCUAAUGGUUGUAUAGCACUUUAAGCGAGGAGGAGGCUACUAGUAUUAAUACUCUGGAUAGUGGACGUUACUCGCAGAAUAAGCACCCGCUAACUCUGUGCCAGCAGCCGC